CUUAACAGAUAAUCUAGAGUAACUAUCAGCCAACUUCAUGAAGCCACUGAGAAACACUAAGUAGACACAGGUUUGAAAGAAAAAAAAUUAAAGGAGGACAUAAAAAUAAAAAGUAAGGCAAAAUGUAAUAAACAGAUACAGACGCUAUCCUUGUAUAAGAAAAGACUGGCAUCACACAAAAACUGUAAUAGAAUUGUCACUGGGAAGUAUUUGCCCAAAUAGAGACUAUAUCCUCCAGACCAAUCGGUAGGUACAUAAGUCCAUGUUAAUAGUUCUUGCACAUAAAUAUGAAUAAUGUGAUGUGUUUCCUAAGAAUAGUAA
rnacentral:lncRNA from 1 species